ensembl:snRNA
GUGUUGUAUGAAAGGAGAAGGUUUGCACUGCCCUUGCCAAGGGUGGAAGAGGCCCUCGGGCCUGACAACGCACAUACAGUUAAGGCACUGCCUUAACCUUAGUUUCCAGACAUCUAACCAAAUGACAUA